rnacentral:pre_miRNA from 1 species
AAUAACCUCAUCUUUCGUUUUUCUGUGUUCAACGUUUGACCAUUCGACUUAUUUAAAAUUUUUUUGCAAUUAAUAUUUUUAUUAUUACUAGAUGAUAAAAUAUGAAUAGUACUUUAUACGUGAAUAACUUUUUUAAGUUUUUGUACAAACUUUUUAAAUAAGACGAAUGAUCAGGACACGGAAAAAC